rnacentral:lncRNA from 1 species
CUCAGCAAUUCUUCAUUAGAUCUGUCUUUAAAUAUGUAUAGAUCUCAGCUCUUCAGACUCUUUUUUUUUCUGAUUCACGUAGUUUUCUUUAUUAAAAAAAAAAAUCUUUCAUCUGGUAGUUGCCAGGAGUUGCGAUCAUGUUACCAAGGAGCAGAAAAUGGGAAGCUCUCUUAAUGGGCUUUCAACAUCCUGCCCUUAGCCUGGAUGAGGCAGCAGUGAAUGCCAGCCAGCUCUCUGCAGGAAGAGGUGCAGGGCGGGUGGAUGCAAGAAUCAGGAUGCAGGACACAGCACUAUCAGUGUGGGAAGUGGUUUGUCAGAACUUAUCCACAGUCUUAAAAGGCUG